AAGUGUGGCACAGAAGCUUUCUCUCACUGAAGAACAGUCUCUGACUAGCUGCCCCACUCCAAUACUUCCAGUAACCAGGUCUCUAAAAAAACACUACUCACAAUACAUCUUACCCAGACUCACCAUGAAAUGAACGCAUCAAGAACAUUUUGGUUUGAAAGGGAUAAGGCAGGAGAAAAGAGAACAAAGGAAGGCCUGGAAGUGAAGGGGUGGCCAAGUUGAAUCUGUUUUUUAUGUGAUUGAAUAAAUUCAAAAUAUUCAAGUGACUUUCCCGAGGUCAUU